ensembl:lncRNA
GCCAAACAGUGCAAAGCCCUCUGCACCACGGCCGUGGCGGGCUCAUCCAGGGGCAGCUGGGGGCCUUGCAGGGGCCCAGCGGGGCCUCCCCGAGUCGUGCCCCAGGGCAGCUCCUGGUGAUGGGAAAUACAGAACGUGCUGCAGGGCGACCCCAGUGGUAGGGUUGGACACCGAAUCCCAUUGAAGGAAGGCUUUUCUCUUUUUCUUUUUUUCUUUUUUUUUGUAUGUUUAUUUAUUUUGAGAGGGAGAGAGCGCAAGCCCGGGAGGGACAGAGAGAGGGGACAGAAGAUCCAAAGCAGGCCCUGUGGUGACAGCAGAGAGCCUGACGCUGGGCCUGACCCCACGAGCGUCGAGAUCAUGACCUCAACCAAAGUCGGUAACCAACAGAGCCACCCAGAUGCCCCAAGGGAAGGUGUUUGCAAAGUAAGUCCUGAGAGUCAGGUUUUGCCGAGGGGCAGUCAGAGGGGGUGGGGAGGGGCGCAGAGGGCCAGGCCCACUCCCGCCAGCCCCCAGCCCCCAGGUGCGAACCGCACCAAGGCCCUGCUGUGUGCUGUGUAUGUGUUAUUAGUGUCUCCCAGCCUGGGCGUGGGGCCGUGACGGCGGGCAUUGGCAACUGUCCCUUGCUGAGCACAGGGCCGAAACGAGUGCUAGCAGAAUUUUCAGGAACCACAGCGGGCGUCCCCUGCAGACCUCAGGCUGCAGUGUGGGUGCCGGGUCUGGCACUGGGUGAGACUCCAGUGAGCAGUGGCAGAUUUUGCUGGCGUGAGCAUCCCGGACCUGGAACCCUCAGGAUCUCACUGCGCGGCCCCCCUCGUGCUCUGUGUCUGGGCUCCUGGGAGCGGGGCGACCAGCCCGGCCUCCACCUUGAUAGGCCUCCUUCGCAGCCUAUGGCGUCCCUGACGCCUGGGGCGUGGCCAGGGCGAAGCACCGGAUGGGGGACGUCCUGUGUGGGAAGAGACGACGAGGAAGCGUGUGUCCGUGAACAGCGACGCCAAGACACGGGCCAGGGGGCCCAUUGUGGCCAACGUGCUGCUUCCAAAGCCCCGUCUCUUCUCCCCGUUUUAGCUCUCGGGCUCCAGCUAGCAGCACAGCCGUGGCUCAGUGUGUGCCUUUGUGAGGCCUCAGCCACCCCGCGGGGGCGUUGCGUGGACCAGCCCCGCAAACCAGUGCCCUCCAGCAGCCUGCGGCCGGCAGGCGUACACAUUCUCUCAGGUGACAUGGGCCUUACUCUGGGGCUGCCAGUGACAAAAGAGGGGACUUUCCUGGCUCUGUGUACAGACACGCGGCAGGUGUGAAGGCCGAGCUGUUAGCCUGGCCUCUGGAUAACAGUAUGGAAGGUUCAGGCUCCUUCCGUCUUUCGUCUUCCUUCUGCGGUCAGUGGAGCUUUAUCCCAGCCUAGUCUCCUCAGGGUCCCUAAGUGGCUGCUGCAGCUCCAGGCAUCACACACCGUGGACAACACUGAUGCUUGUUCAGUCUGUUUCCUCCUGUGAACCUUUUUUUCUUUCACACGAUAUGAUAUUUCUAAACCAUUGUCUGUGUUGGCCAGCGUAUUAAUACAUUGAUAUUUAUAUGUAUUUAUGUGACAAUACAUCCGUGUGAUCAUCUACAUUAGCAGCCUCAUGUUGUAGCAUAGCAAAGUCCGAACCUCCUGUGAACCUUAAUUUCUCCGUGGAAACCCUUCCCGUGGGGGUCCCCGCAGAAUGUCUCCACGACCUACUUACUGGCCAAGAUGGCGGCCAAACCCAAUUCUGGCACAGGAGCCGGAAUUCCUAGGAUCACCUGAGACCAUGCUUCUCUACCCACAAGAUUCUCUUCUUGCAAACAGCUUUAUUGAGAUGCAUUCACACACCAUGCAGACCACCCAGGGUACAAGACGGUGGUUGUCAGUGUGGUCACGACAUCGGUAAAGUCGCAACCACCAUCCCCAGGGUCCGUUUUAGAACAUCGCGUUCACCCCAGAAGGAAACCUGUGCCCACUAAACAGCGUCUCCCCAUCCCUCCUUCCCCCGGCCCUCGGCACCCACUGGUUUCCACUCUCGCUCUGGGUUUUCCUGAUCUGGACAUUUUGUGUAAAGGGAAUCGUGUGACUUCCUCCAUGGGAAGGGCUUCCAUCUGGUGUCCUCAUCCGGCUUGUCUCACCAAGCGCACUUUCAAGGUCCACCCACGUGGCACCAGGUGUCAACGCUUCACUCCCGUUUGUGGCUGAGUGAUAUUCCAGUGUGCGCACACCACAUUCUGUUUGUUAUCCGUUCACCCGUUGAUGGUCAUGUGGGCGGUUUUCACUUUUCUGGUGCUCGUGAACCGUGCUGCCGUGAACAAGAGGGCACGUACGGGAGACUGGAAUCGCUGGUCCACGGGGUGGCUCCCUGGUUGCCGUCUGGAGGGACUUCCAGACUGUUUUCCAAAAUGGCUAUACCAUUUUGCAUCCCCACCAGCCUGGUUUGGAGGUUCCAUUUCGCACCUGGUUAUUGCCUGUUUCCGAUUCCUCGGUGGGCGUGAGGCGGUGUCUCAUUGUGGGUCUGUCAACAGAUUCGCACCCCCUUUGUAUCAAAUAUUUUGUAACCCUCCCCUCCCUUUCUGAAAUCAAAUGUAGAGGUAACAUAGUGUCUCUGCAUGUGUAACUCACUUAUAAUGUGUGUCUAUUAUGUAGCUAUAAUUAUACUAUAAAGGAGAAUGAAAGGUAAAUACAUUUUAAUAAAAUAACCUGUAAUUUAAUAUGUCA